CAGUCGCCGCGGGAAUACGUAGGGUGCAAGCGUUAAUCGGAAUUACUGGGCGUAAAGCGUGCGCAGGCGGUCCGCUAAGACAGAUGUGAAAUCCCCGGGCUUAACCUGGGAACUGCAUUUGUGACUGUAUAGCUAGAGUACGGCAGAGGGGGAUGGAAUUCCGCGUGUAGCAGUGAAAUGCGUAGAUAUGCGGAGGAACACCGAUGGCGAAGGCAAUCCCCUGGGCCUGUACUGACGCUCAUGCACGAAAGCGUGGGGAGCAAACAGGAUUAGAUACCCCUGUAGUCCCUGUCUCUUAUAA
rnacentral:rRNA from 1 species